UACGUAGGGCGCAAGCGUUAUCCGGAAUUAUUGGGCGUAAAGAGCUCGUAGGCGGUUUGUCGCGUCUGCCGUGAAAGUCCGGGGCUCAACUCCGGAUCUGCGGUGGGUACGGGCAGACUAGAGUGAUGUAGGGGGGAGACUGGAAUUCCUGGUGUAGCGGUGAAAUGCGCAGAUAUCAGGAGGAAUACCGAUGGCGAAGGCAGGUCUCUGGGCUAUAACUGACGCUCAUGCACGAAAGCGUGGGGGAGCAAACAGG
rnacentral:rRNA from 1 species